rnacentral:tRNA from 1 species
GCCGCCAUGGUGAAACUGGUAGACACGCUGCUCUUAGGAAGCAGUGCUAUAGCAUCUCGGUUCGAAUCCGAGUGGCGGCA